AGACGGAGGGUGCAAGCGUUGUUCGGAAUCACUGGGCGUAAAGGGCGCGCAGGCGGUUUGGUAAGUCAGAUGUGAAAGCCCAUGGCUCAACCAUGGAAGUGCAUUUGAAACUGUCAGACUUAAGUACUAGAGGGGAAAGUGGAAUUCCCGGUGUAGAGGUGAAAUUCGUAGAUAUCGGGAGGAAUACCGGUGGCGAAGGCGACUUUCUGGCUAGAUACUGACGCUGAGGCGCGAAAGCGUGGGGAGCAAACAGGAUUAGAUACCCCAGUAGUCC
rnacentral:rRNA from 1 species